rnacentral:rRNA from 1 species
CCCGCUGAGGUUGAGAGCCCNUAGGACUUGACGUCGAGCCUGUGCUAAGCUCCCUCGAUAGUCGUAGUAGUUUGGGAAUGCUGCUCUAAAUGGGAGGUACACCCCUUCUAAAGCUAAAUACCCGCCAGAGACCGAUAGCGCACAAGUAGAGUGAUCGAAAGAUGAAAAGCACUUUGAAAAGAGAGUUAAACAGCACGUGAAAUUGUUGAAAGGGAAGCGCUUGUGGCCAGACUCGGGCCCGGCGGCUCAGCCGUCCCUCGCGGGCGGCGCACUCUGCGGGUCCGGGCCAGCAUCAGCUUGCGGCGGGGGAGAAAGGCGGCGGGAACGUGGCUCUUCGGAGUGUUAUAGCCCGCCGCCAUGCCCCGCCGCGGGCUGAGGUCGCGGUCAAGGAUGCUGGCGUAAUGGCCACCANCGACCCGUCUUGAAACACGGCCAAGGGGUCGCCUACAUGCCAGUGUUCGGGUGCAAAGCCCUACCCGGAAUGAAAGUGAACGCAGUGGGAGCUUUUGCGCACCACCGACCGAUCUGAAGUCUCGGAUGGAUUUGAGUAAAAGCAUGCUUGGCCGGACCCGAAAGAAGGGGAACUUUCUUNGGUANGGGCAAAGCCCNAGGAAACUUUGGGGGAGGNUUCNAANGGGUCUGAACGGCAAAUGGAUNGUNAAAACUUGACUGGG